GGCAAGCAUGACAGGAUAAAGACUUUUUAC
rnacentral:piRNA from 1 species